rnacentral:lncRNA from 1 species
UGAAAUCCUGAAAAAGGGAUAAAGAGAAACUUCUAAGGUGCAUAAACCCUGGUGCUCCAGUCUUAACUGAGAGUUGCAGCUUCCUCUUCCCACCUUGCUGUGCCAUUCUAAGGCUCAAGGGAGAAGGGAAAAGCCAAGGGGAAACAAAACAGCAGAACUAAACCUGGAAGAAAGGAACUUCCAUCAACAAUUUUCAGAAUGGCUGCUAUAGGACCUAGCUGCUUCUUUCUGCUCAGUUAAAGGAGCCAACCCAUAAAAAAAGAAUAUUUAAAAAAA